rnacentral:lncRNA from 1 species
GCGCGGUGGACGUGGCCGAGCUGCAGGAGUGGUACAAGAAGUUCCUGACGGAGUGCCCCAGCGGCUCGCUCUUCAUGCACGAGUUUAAGCGCUUCUUCAAGGUCGCAGGCAACGAGGAGGCCACUCAGUAUGUAGAGGGCAUGUUUGUUCCGCGCCUUCGACAGGAACGGGGACAACACCAUCGACUUCCUGGAGUACGUGGCAGCCCUGAACCUCAUGCUGAGGGGCAACCUGGAGCACACGCUGAAGUGGACCUUCAAGAUCUAUGACAAGGACCGCAACGGCUGCAUCGACCGCCUGGAGCUGCUGGACAUCGUGGAGGUCAGUGUCUGCAGGGGGUGGAGGGCGGGGCAAGCACUUAGGCACAUGGCCAGCUGUCCCUGAACGAAUUCAUUGAAGGUGCCCGUCGUGACAAGUGGGUGAUGAAGAUGCUGCAGAUGGAUGCGAGUCCUGGCAGCUGGAUCUCUCAGCAGAGGCAGAAGAGUGCCAUGUUCUGAGGGGCCUGUGGCCCUGGGAGCCCCCGGGGACUCCAGGCUCACCAGGUUUCCAGAGUAGUGGGGGGGGCAUCCCUGGCUCAGCCUGCUAUGCCUACUCUCAUCCUGGCACGGACUUCCUGGUGCCUCCCGUGUAGGGGGUGGGGCUGAGUGGGGAGGAGGUGUCUGAAGGGGUCAGUAGGGCCAUGGGUCCUAUUGGGAGGUUUCACAUUCAUGGGGUGCUGAAGGGAACUGGCUUCCUCUUCCCUUCUGCUCCAGGGAAAGCCCGGCCUUGGCAGGGUGGUUGAGCUCCCACAAAUUCCUGCUCGGUUCUUAGCUGAAUGCAGGGAAAACUGGGGAGUGGGGAUCCCACAGACCAACUUAGCAAUGAGAAUGCCCACACGGCCUGAGACUGACUGGUAGCAGGGAGGGGCUGGCAGGUGUUAUUGACUCGGGAGCAAAGGUGGGACCUGGGGGGAGGGGAUGGCUAAUAAUUACCCCCCCAUCCUAAGGAAUGUGCCCGUGAGGACAUGUGCCUCUUCCUCCCCCAGUUGUCCUCACCAGGGGUGUCCACGGGAAACUUGCAACGAGUCAGGCUGUGGUCUGCCUGCCCUUGGAGGAGGUCAGCUGUGCUUAAAGGGGCUGUUCCAACUCUGCCCCGUGCUGUCCCCCCCAAAUCUCCUCUCCCCUCUGCAUCCCCACACACACCUCCCCAACCCCCACCCCCAGCAAGGACCUUCCACAGCUCCGCAUUGCAAGCCCACAAGUCAAACGUGUCUCCUUAAAGGAUGGAAGAAACCUUUCCUCUGUCCCUGGGGAGAACUGGGGGCCUGCCAAUCUGGGUUCUAGACCGGGUUUUGCCUCCAACUGCUAUGUGACCCAAGACGGCCACUUCUCUUCCCUAACUUCAGUUAUCUCAUCUACAGCGUGAGCAGUUUAGACAAGUGGUUUUCAGAUGAUUCUUUUUUGGAUGUGAAAUUCUUUUUGUUAUACAAACUGUGUAUGCCACCCCAGUACAGACACCAGAUGAAAAGGCAGUCCUUCUGGUGGCAGGGGUUGCUGAGGACCUCAGAAAACAAACUCAUGUGAAUAUAUGCUUUUGUGUUGGUGUAUGAAAAAUAAAACUAACUUGUUGAGC